rnacentral:rRNA from 1 species
AACGAACGCUGGCGGCAUGCCUAACACAUGCAAGUCGAACGCGUGUAGCGAUACACGAGUGGCGGACGGGUGAGUAACGCGUGGGAACCUGCCCAAUGGUAGGGAAUAACUGCGGGAAACUGCAGCUAAUACCCUAUGCUCCCUACGGGGAAAGAUUCAUCGCCAUUGGAGGGGCCCGCGUCGGAUUAGCUAGUUGGCGGGGUAAUGGCCCACCAAGGCUACGAUCCGUAGCUGGCUGAGAGGAUGAUCAGCCACACUGGGACUGAGAUACGGCCCAGACUCCUACGGGAGGCAGCAGUGGGGAAUAUUGGACAAUGGGGGAAACCCUGAUCCAGCAAUGCCGCGUGAGUGAAGAAGGCCUUAGGGUUGUAAAGCUCUUUCGGCGGGACGAUGGUGACGGUACCCGCAGAAGAAGCCCCGGCUAACUUCGUGCCAGCCGCCGCAGUAAC